UACGGGGGGGGCAAGCGUUGUUCGGAAGUUACUGGGACGUAAAGGGCGCGUAGGCGGCCGACCAAGUCGGAGGUGAAAUCCCUCGGCUCAACUGAGGAACUGCCUCCGAUACUGUUCGGCUUGAGUCCCGGAGAGGGUAGUGGGAAUUCCGAGUGUAGCGGUGAAUGCGUAGAGGACUCGGAAGAACACCAGUGGCGAAGGCGGCUACCUGGACGGGUACUGAA
rnacentral:rRNA from 1 species